AGCGUAACUGUCUGGACUCAGUAGUUUAGUUAUGAACGCAGUGGCGUUUGACUCGAAACGAACUGAGUUUGAAUCCCAGUAUGGA
rnacentral:precursor_RNA from 1 species